AACGAACGCUGGCGGCGUGCCUAACACAUGCAAGUCGAACGAGAAUUUUCCUUUCGGGGAAAUAGUAAAGUGGCGCAAGGGUGAGUAACACGUGAAUAAUCUGCCUACGAAUUCGGGAUAACUCGGCGAAAGCUGUGCUAAUACCGGAUAAGACCACGUAUCUUAUGUUACGUGGCUAAAGGAGUCUCAAACUCCGUUUGUAGAUGAGUUCGCGGACCAUUAGCUUGUUGGUGGGAUAACAGCCCACCAAGGCGACGAUGGUUAGCCGGCCUGAGAGGAUGAUCAGCCACACUGGGACUGAGACACGGCCCCAGACUCCUACGGGAGGCAGCAGUGGGGAAUUUUCCGCAAUGGGCGCAAGCCUGACGGAGCAAUACCGCGUGGAGGACG
rnacentral:rRNA from 1 species